rnacentral:ncRNA from 20 species
CUUUGCACCCACGAAAGUGGUUCUCUGAAAGAGACAAAAGGGAAUACCGUGAUAAUCGGUAACAGUAGCCGCUGCUGUAUUUUCCCGCAUGGAUUACAAAAUCAUGCAAUUUGGAGCAAAUUGUCACUGGAAAUCUUCUCUGGGAAGGCGCUACCGAAUAAGGGAAUAAGUCAGAAGACCUGCCUCUUUCGUUUGCAUUUUA